AUACCGCCAUAAAAAUAAGAAAAUCGCUACAAUGGUUAAGUCACACAGCCCUUCCUCUAAAAAUGAUUAUAUCUGAAAAAAGGAACAGAUCUGUAGAGACUUUUAAUAUAUUAGACGUAAAAAAGGAGGGAGGAGGGAUAGAAGACGAAAAAAACAGAGAAGAGUCGUAGUGUACUCGUAAAAACAGACAAUACCAGUCGGAAGACAUGAAAUAUCUAUAAAUGGAGAAAGAGAAGAUUACGAUGUAUUGUCGUAAAUCGACCGCGGUAAACCGCGCGAUAUUCUAAUUUUUUUAAGGUUAAAAACCGUCCGGACUCCGUCUCUCUCGUUUCACGCCGAUCGUUUUUGGCAUUAUAUAAAUAAAAUAUACGACUACACAUAUUAUUAGAUAGAUACCCAUAUUUUUACUUUUUUGUCGGACACACGAGUAUAUAGAGACACCCCUCUCUCGGCAAAACAUCACUGCGCGCAUUAUUCCAAACACGUCCGCCGCUUUACGAUUGUAAUGAGUUAUUUGUUCCCCAUCAUAAUAAUAAUAAUAUUCUCUACUGCAGCAAUCUCUUGUAUUAUUUUUUUUUUUGUUGUUUUUGGUCAUAUAUAAUAUACUCGUACAUUUUUUUUCUCUAUUCUUCUUCUUUCCAAAUUUUUCUCCUACACCGCUGCACAUGCUAUAGUAGGUACAACAAAAGAAGAUAAUUUACAGAAAACGGGAACGCGAACACACGUGCAUUGCCGUUGCGUAUUAACGGACAUUUUUCCUGAACGUUAGCCAAGCAUAAUAUAAUAAUAAUAUUGCACCGUAGAUAUAGUUUU